UACAGAGGUCUCAAGCGUUGUUCGGAUUCAUUGGGCGUAAAGGGUGUGUAGGUGGCGCUGUAAGUCGGGUGUGAAAUUUCGGAGCUUAACUCCGAAACUGCAUUCGAUACUGCGGUGCUUGAGGACUGGAGAGGAGACUGGAAUUCAUGGUGUAGCAGUGAAAUGCGUAGAGAUCAUGAGGAAGACCAGUGGCGAAGGCGGGUCUCUGGACAGUUCCUGACACUGAGGCACGAAGGCCAGGGGAGCAAACGGG
rnacentral:rRNA from 1 species